CAGUUGCUGAGACUUCACAGUUACUCAAAGCUGGGUCUGGGUGUGGUGAUUGCAGUGCCACUCUUGCCUCAGAAAGGCCAUUAAACCUCAGAGCUUCAAGCCUCAUUGCAGCCAAUUUUUUCAUGGAAGCAGAUGUUGACAGCUGGGAGGAAUCCUUCUGGGACCCUGAAGGAAGGCUGAGGAAAAUGCCCUUUCAAGAGGUCAUAGGAUUUGGCUUCUAAGCUUUACUAAAAUUUGAUUGAAUGGACCAACUUGCAAGAGCUGCUGAUUUUGAAAAUGAGAUUGAGACUUCACUGGAUAAAGUCAACCAUUGUUAAGUCAAGUAGAACAUUGUACAACACAAUAAACUUCACAUUAGGAAUUUCUUCAAAGAUACACCCAUAUUCAAGUCAAGUCUUAACUAUAGUUUAGAUAUAUGAAAUUUAGCACUGAGUAGUGAAGAAACAGGUAGUGACCAAAAAGAGGAAAUAUGUAAAAUAGAAAGAUAGCCUCUUUUUAAAUAAUA